rnacentral:rRNA from 1 species
GUGGCAAGCGUUGUCCGGAUUUAUUGGGCGUAAAGCGAGUGCAGGCGGUUCAAUAAGUCUGAUGUGAAAGCCCCCGGCUUAACCGAGGAAUUGCAUCGGAAACUGUGUUUCUUGAGUGCAGAAGAGGAGAGUGGAACUCCAUGUGUAGCGGUGGAAUGCGUAGAUAUAUGGAAGAACACCAGUGGCGAAAGCGGCUCUCUGGUCUGUAACUGACGCUGAGGUUCGAAAGCGUGGGUAGCAAACA